AACGCGAAGAACCUUACCAGCCCUUGACAUGUCCGGGAUCGGUCGCAGAGACGUGACCUUCUCUUCGGAGCCCGGAACACAGGUGCUGCAUGGCUGUCGUCAGCUCGUGUCGUGAGAUGUUGGGUUAAGUCCCGCAACGAGCGCAACCCUUGUUACCAGUUGCUACCAUUUAGUUGAGCACUCUGGUGAGACCGCCUCGGAUAACGGGGAGGAAGGCGGGGAUGACGUCAAGUCCUCAUGGCCUUUAUGUCCAGGGCUACACACGUGCUACAAUGGCCGGUACAAACCGUCGCAAACCCGUGAGGGGGAGCUAAUCGGAAAAAGCCGGCCUCAGUUCGGAUUGGAGUCUGCAACUCGACUCCAUGAAGCUGGAAUCGCUAGUAAUCGCGGAUCAGAAUGCCGCGGUGAAUACGUUCCCGGGCCUUGUACACACCGGCUAC
rnacentral:rRNA from 1 species